rnacentral:tRNA from 2 species
GCGCCUGUAGUUCAAUGGAUAGAAUAGUGGCCUCCGAAGCCAUAGAUCUGGGUUCGACUCCCGGCGGGCGCACCA